UCCAAGAGAGGAACUGCAGGGGACAAAAUCUCUCCCAUCCUACACACGUUUGAUCGGGCCAAAGACAUCAAUCUGAAGAGAGAAUGUCUCCUAAAGGCCCUUAUCAUUGUUCUUGGGGAGGAUACUCGUGAUCUUGUCAAGGAGUUUGUGGACAGUCGGGAAGACGACCUUCAGGUUGAUUUGGAGCAGGUGACCAUGGCGGUAUUUUCCAUUCGACAAGAAGGAUGUGUCGAACUUCCUCCGGAGGACAUUGGUAUCGUUAUCGAAGGCGUAACAGUCUUAAAUGGACUCAGCUCUGUCCCAUCUGCUUGUGCCCUGCUGCUCGGCUUGAUCUACAUUCUCAAUCUUGCCUACCCUAAAAGCCUCCGUUACACUUUCGAGGUUUUCCA